CGGGCCUGUAGGAAACUGCGCAUGCGCGGAGAGAAGAGCCCGGGCAGCCUGAAGGAAUGGCUGGAGUGGGCGGGGUCUGCGCCGCUUUAAGGUUGGACCCGAUCCUGCUAGGGAGUCUCCUGCAGCUUAGCAGUCCGGGAACUGGGAUUUCGGUGGGGAAUCCAAAACUAGCAGUGAUUGGAUCCAUAAAAGUUACCAAAAAACAAAAAUGAAGUGUCUGGAAUCACUCCACUGGAUUUCAAGACUACCAAUAUAGGAAAGAUGCUGGUUAACCUCCACACGCUUGAUUUUCAAGCAUCUGAUCUUUGAUAACUUCCAUAUUAAGAGACUUCAUUUCACCAUCUAGUAUCCCUGUACUUUAAUUGAACUAAAGAUUUACAAGGACACUCCAUUUUCCUAUUUACAGAGAACCUAGUCUGUACCUGCCAUUGUUUUACAUACAUUUUCAUGUCACAAAAUUUUAUUUCUAAACAACACCCUCAUUUAUGUAUUUUCUAAGUGUUCACUGGAGUAACACAGAGAAGAAAUGCAGUAAACAUAUAAUUUGGAUUAAAAUGUAUGGAAGGAAAAAAUCCUUAAAGUAAAAAUCAUAUACAAAAACAAAAAGUCAUUUUACUACUAUUGGCUCAU
rnacentral:lncRNA from 1 species